rnacentral:rRNA from 1 species
CUAAGCAUGGUGCCGAAGCGGCGGGGUGCGGCGAUAAGCCGCACCGGUAGGGGAGCGUUCCGCGCUGGGCGAAGCCGGAGGGGCGACCCCCGGUGGACGGCGCGGAAGCGAGGAUGCUGGCAUGAGUAGCGAGAGACGAGCGAGAAACUCGUCCGCCGCAAGCCCAAGGUUUCCUGGGCGAGGCUAAUCCCCCCAGGGUCAGUCGGGGGCUAAGGCGAGGCCGGGAGGCGUAGCCGAUGCGCAACGGGCGGACAUUCCCGUACCGCCUGCGGCGCGCCCGAGCCCGAGCGGCGACGCGGAAGGGCAUGCUGUGCGGGGUUCUGGACGUCCCCGUGAAAGCGCGUAGGCCGGGAGCCAGGCAAGUCCGGCUCCCAUUAAGGCCGAGACGCGAGACGAAGCCCCUUCGGGCGAAGCAGCAGAUCCCAUGCCGCCUAGAAAAACCGCGCGGGCGAGCGCCGCAGGCGCCCGUACCAAAACCGACACAGGUGGGCGGGUAGAGCAUACCGAGGCGAUCGGGGGAACCGUGGUCAAGGAACUCGGCACAAUGGCCCCGCAACUUCGGGAGAAGGGGUGCCGCCGGGCGUGGAGGGGCUCGCCCCCCGAGCGCAUGGCGGCCGCAGUGGAUAGGCCCAAGCGACUGUUUACCAAAAACACAGGACUCUGCCAAGCCGCAAGGCGACGUAUAGGGUCUGACGCCUGCCCGGUGCCGGAAGGUUACGCGGAGGGGUUAGCGCAAGCGACGCCCCGAAGCCAAGCCCCGGUAAACGGCGGCCGUAACUAUAACGGUCCUAAGGUAGCGAAAUUCCUUGUCGGGUAAGUUCCGACCUGCACGAACGGCGUAACGACUUGGGCGCUGUCUCGACCAUGGACCCGGUGAAAUUGCACUAUUCGUGAAGAUGCGAAUUACCUGCGGAAGGACGGAAAGACCCCGUGAACCUUCACUGCAGCUUGGCAUUGGCCGUUGGCCCGGAGCGUAGAGGAUAGGCAGGAGGCUUCGAAGCGGGGGCGCCAGCUCCCGUGGAGCCGACCUUGGAAUACUGCCCCCUUCGCGCCGGCGGCCUAACCCCGUCCGUCACCCGGGCGGGGGACCGUGCCAGGCGGGCAGUUUGACUGGGGCGGUCGCCUCCCAAAGCGUAACGGAGGCGCGCAAAGGUCCGCUCAGGACGGUCGGCAACCGUCCCGAGAGCGCAAGAGUGCAAGCGGGCUUGACUGCGAGGCAGACACGCCGAGCAGGUGCGAAAGCAGGUUCUAGUGAUCCGGCGGCCCAGAGUGGAAUGGCCGUCGCUCAACGGAUAAAAGGUACUCCGGGGAUAACAGGCUGAUCUUGCCCAAGAGUCCACAUCGACGGCAAGGUUUGGCACCUCGAUGUCGGCUCAUCGCAUCCUGGGGCUGGAGUCGGUCCCAAGGGUUGGGCUGUUCGCCCAUUAAAGCGGUACGCGAGCUGGGUUCAGAACGUCGUGAGACAGUUCGGUCCCUAUCCUCCGCAGGCGCAAGAGGGUUGAGGAGACCCGCCCCUAGUACGAGAGGACCGGGGCGGACGGACCUCCGGUGCGGCAGUUGUCGACCAACGGCAUGGCUGCUUAGCCGCGUCCGGCGCGGAUAACCGCUGAAGGCAUCUAAGCGGGAAGCCGCCUCCGAGAUUAGCCCUCUCUCUGGUAAGGCCCCUGGUAGACCACCAGGUUGAUAGGGCGCAGCUGCAAGCGGGGCGACCCGCUCAGGCGAGCGCUACUAAUCGGCCGAGCUCUUCACUC